rnacentral:rRNA from 1 species
CUCUCAGCUUAUUUUGCGCAGCUUAGGUGGGAGGCUAUGAACCUUUUCUUCUGGGAAGAGGGGAGCCGUCAGUGAGAUACCACUCUUGGUAAGCUAGAGCGCUCAGUCUUAACCGUCAUCCGGUAAGACGACAGUUUCAGGCGGGCAGUUUGACUGGGGCAGUCACCUCCCAAAAGGUAAUGGAGGUGUGCAAAGGUUCCCUCAGGCUGGACGGAGAUCAGCCAUAGAGUGUAAAAGCAAAAGGGAGCUUGACUGCGAGACUGACAUGUCAAGCAGAGACGAAAGUCGGCUUUAGUGAUCCGACGGUGCUGUGUGGAAAGGCCGUCGCUCAACGGAUAAAAGUUACUCUAGGGAUAACA